UUUGUCCCAGGACACUAAAUAUAAUUCUCUGUAGGACCUUGUUGUCCAUCCAUUUUAUAUGUAAUAACUUGCACCUAUACUCCUCACUCCCCACACAUUUCUUACAUAUACUAAUUUGUUGAAUUCUUAACCCUCUGAGAUUCUGUCUUUAUCUCUAUUUUAUGGAUGAGGAAACUGAGGCAGAGAGAGUUUAGGCAACUUGCCCAAGAUCACACAACUAAGAAAUUCCGCUGAAGACCAGGAAGUCCCAAUCCGGGUAUGUGCUUAGAAGAGCACAACUAAAGAACCCAGUGUGUGGGAGAACAGUCAUGAUAAAAAAUUGUGUUAACAACCCUAACAGCACCUGUCACAACCACACGGAGCUUUGGGAGUUUUAAGUGCUUGUGAAUACAUGUCUCCAUGAUAGCUAAAAACAUCCCAAGUGAUAUAACAUUCUUGCUCUGUGGUGUGAUGGACUGAUUAAGUAGAAGGCUUGAAUCAGUGCUGCUCCCUAUGUGGCCAUGAUACAGGAACAGGAACAGAGAAAUGGAAGAACUUGCCCCAAACCAUGCAGGAGGUGGUAGAACCAAGGACUCAAUAACCUGAUUUGAAAGCCAGCAGCCACUCACUGUAAUUAUUUGCCUCUGACGGAAGGUUGAUGAGAAGACCUCUCAGAGAGGCAGUGACUUCCCCAAAGUUGCACAGCUAAUGGGAGAUUUUGGACCACUUAUUCUCUGGGCUCCUCCACUGAAGCUGCAAUGGCCCUGAAGCACUGCCUGCCCUUUUGGGCUUAUGUCUGUAUGAGACUCGGCUGUCUCUCAAUCUUCAUUGGCAUCCCUUAGCUUGAUCUGUGUCCUUACUCUGCAGCUGUGGUCCCCAGUGACCUUUGGCUGUUCCCAAACAUUCAAUUCCAUCCUCAAAGCACAGGAUUUUUCCAAUCAAGAAAAUUCUUUAGAAGAAUGCGCCUCAGGCUCAGAAGGACUUUCCAGUAGAACUUUCUAACAUUCCAAAGAUACUUGGUGCUUUGAGCACAGCCUGGCUCUAGACCUCUCGCCCUUCCUGCUGGUCACUGGCCUUUCCUGCACCUUCCUCCGUCUGCUUUGCCAAUGAGGGAUGGGGGUGAGCCGGGCAGAAUGCCAGGGAUAAGAUGCCAUAAAGAGCUCAAAACUGCCCGGUUGACAGUCUCAUCUUCCAGUUCAGUGGAGCUGUUCUUGUGUCCUCUGGUUGAAGUAUUCCCACCUGGAGACUAAGACCUCCAACCCAGCAGAGUUCGUGUUUCCUCAGAUCCAUAUGACUUCUGCAUAGGAGGAACUGGAGAGCUGAAUGGGAGAUAAAAUAAGUAACAGUAUUCCUACUUUGUCAGAGGCAUUCAUCUUUGCAGUUUCCUCAGUGAUGUGAUACUGCUUCAGGCUUACCACAGCAAUAAAGCCGAAAGUUGCAAGGACUUCUUUGUAGUCUUCCCUUUCAUAAUGAUCCUCAUCGCAUUACUCAGAGAGCCAAUAUGCGGGUUCUGUGAGUUUUCAAGUGUGUUAACUUAAACAAUAAAUUUAGAAACCGAGAACAUAACUCACAGGGUGGAGAUGUGGACAAGCUGGGUCUGCCACGAGUCUGACUUGAGCUGAAUAGCUAUCACUUGACACUACAACCCCCAUUUGAGGCCACAGGAACAUUUUGGAACCCCAGGAAUUAGCAUCAGUUCAGAGCUCAUGUAAUCUCUGAAAAUUUCUUUUUCCUCCCAACAUAGUCACUCUAGCAGAUGGCUGCAGGUCCUUUUGGGGAAUGCUUAGAGGAAGAUUUACUGUGUGCACUUGAGACGAUGGCACAGAACAAUUCUUCAGUAAUACCACGCCUCCCUUACAAUUGAAGCACUGUUGGUGUGUAAAUUGAUAUAGGUUUCAAAACUGACUGAAAGCCAUGAUUCUUUGUGGUGGAGACUCUCAGAUUUUUGGCUACUGGAUCUAGAAUUUUUCCAGUUACAGAAAUCAAAUAGUUUUCUAGUAGGGUACCCAUCUAUUUCAUUCCUAGGACUCUAUGAUAAAUUAAACAUUAUCAAAGCCCUUUGUGGACCAAGACAUUCUAAAAACUGGGACAUUCCCUACUUCCCUUUAAGAUAGAUGUGUCCACCUGGUCCUCAUUAAGUCCUGCCAUUUGUCUUCUGCUACUUUAGGAUUCCAUCAUUUUGACUGCAAACAAGGAGGCUGUAUCAAUAGUGACGUUCUCGAUGAUUCAGCCUAUCAUUCAAAGAAAUCAACUACAGAGCUUUCAGGGACACAGGUACUCCCAUCUCAAGGCCUUAGUCAAGGCAGUGUCUCCUAGGCCUUCUCGUGGAUCACAGUUGGUGGGUGGGUGUGACAGCUGCACAUGGUAAAUCCAGCCAAAACUUCUCACGUCCCUAUGCCUUUGAAUUUCCUCCUCCAUAUAAUUCAGGCAUAUAAACCCAGGCUCUGGCAUCCCAGUCUCAUUCAAUGACACUCACUGUUGGUUCAAGUUUUAGUCAGUCACAAAGUAAGCAGAGACAUCUCCAGGGGCAUGAGAUGACACAUUAUGUCUGGAGUCUCUAUCAUGAUCAACUAUAUCAAUGAAUUUGCUCACUAUGGCAUUAUAUUUCACCAUUCUUGGGGUCCUUACUCAUGGACAGGGGCUAGUUGUCCCUCUCUAGCCAUUACUCAGGACCCUGUUCAUACCCUAGGUGUGUCUUCUAAAAAAUAAUUAUUUUAUUGAGGUAUAAUUGACAU